rnacentral:rRNA from 1 species
GACGAAGGUGGCGAGCGUUGUUCGGUGUUACUGGGCUUAAAGCGUGUGUAGGCGGAAAGGUAAGCGUUUUGUGAAAUCCCUCGGCUUAACCGAGGAAUUGCUGGACGAACUGUCUUUCUUGAGGCAAGUAGGGGUGCACGGAACUCUUGGUGGAGCGGUGGAAUGUGUAGAUAUCAAGAGGAACGCCAGUGGUGAAAACGGUGCACUGGGCUUGUCCUGACGCUGAGACACGAAAGCGUGGGGAGCGAACGGGAUUAGAUACCCUCGUA